GAUGAACGCUGGCGGCGUGCCUAACACAUGCAAGUCGAACGGUUAAGGCGGCUUCGGCCGCGAAUAAAGUGGCGAACGGGUGAGUAGCGCGUGACCGACCUUCCCCCCGCACCGGGACAACCGCGGGAAACCGCGGCUGAUACCGGGUACUCCGGGGCCCUCGCAUGGGGGCCCCCGGAAAGCUCCGGCGGCGGGGGAUGGGGUCGCGUCCCAUCAGGUAGUAGGCGGGGCAACGGCCCACCUAGCCGACGACGGGUAGCCGGGUUGAGAGACCGACCGGCCACAUUGGGACUGAGAUACGGCCCAGACUCCUACGGGAGGCAGCAGUGGGGAAUUUUGCGCAAUGGGGGCAACACUGACGCAGCAACGCCGCGUGCGGGACGACGGCCUUCGGGUUGUAAACCGCUUUCAGCAGGGAAGAACCUAAGACGGUACCUGCAGAAGAAGCCCCGGCUAACUACGUGCCAGCAGCCGCCGUAA
rnacentral:rRNA from 1 species